UAAAUACCAGUAGCAUACCCCAAUCAUUGUAAUAAUUAGUCUCCCUUCACACAUUUUCAUAUGGCCCCUAGAUUACGUAGAGCAACUACACAAUUAGUGCUUCAUAAAACAUAGAUUGAGAUACUCAGCCUAUCAGUUUUGUCCUCUACCUUCACUUUUCCAGGUUUAACAGCUCUAGUUGCUUUCAUCUUUUUUGUAUAUCUGUGGUAUAUUGAAAUGACUAAACAGUAAGUUUUGAUUGAGAAUUCUAGGUUGAGAAAUAAGUAGGCUGAAUGUAGUAAUUCCAGCCCUUAUACAUUGGCUUUCUGCUCCUAUCAGGAGGUUCCCAUGAUCCCUCGGCCCCACUAUGCCCAACCUGGCUGUGUCUACUUCAUCUGUUUGCUCCGAGAUGACUUGCUGCUUCGUCAGGGUGACUGUGUGUAUCUGAUGAGGGAUAGUCGGCGCACCCCUGAUGGCCACCCGGUCCGUCAGUCCUAUCGACUGUUAUCUCACAUUAACCGAGAUAAACUUGACAUCUUUCGCAUUGAGAAGCUUUGGAAGAAUGAAAAAGAGGAACGGUUUGCCUUUGGUCACCAUUAUUUCCG
rnacentral:sRNA from 1 species